UUCUAUUCACCUGCCCUAAUCUUUCAAUUCACUUAUCUUCAGCAGAAGAAGGAGAGAAAGGGCUCUUCAGUGGCUUAUUUCCUUCACGGUGAUGGGGUAGGGAAGGAUGCUAUUUCAUUCUCUUUUCUCAAGGAAGAUUCCAAAGGAGCUCUUUCAUUGAAGUGUCUGCCGCAUUCAGCUUUCAAGUUCGCCCUUCCUGAUGAAGCAAGCCAAGUCGAGAAAAGAGCAGCUAAGGGUUGUCUGAUAUCAUACACAGGGAAGGAAAGACAUUGAGGCCGAAUCCUCUUCCUGUUCUAUUGAUCAGAAGCAUCCAGCAGCGCCACGCCAGUAGAAAGAGUUAAGCUUAUCUUUUAUAGAUCUAUUUUGAGUCUUAAACUCCUUCCGUUGCCAAAUAAAGAGAAUCCUCUGGAGUA
rnacentral:lncRNA from 1 species